rnacentral:rRNA from 1 species
AACGAACGCUGGCGGCAUGCCUAACACAUGCAAGUCGAACGAUGCUUUCGGGCUUAGUGGCGCACGGGUGCGUAACGCGUGGGAAUCUGCCCUUGGGUUCGGAAUAACAGUGAGAAAUUGCUGCUAAUACCGGCUGAUGUCUUCGGACCAAAGUUUUAUCGCCCAGGGAUGAGCCUGCGUAGGAAUAGCUAGUUGGUGGGGUAAUGGCCUUCCAAGGCGACGAUCCUUAGCUGGUCUGAGAGGAUGAUCUGCCACACUGGGACAGGGACACGGCCCAGACUCCGGCGGGAGGCAGCAGGGGGGAAUAUGGGACGCUGGGCGCAAGCCUGAGCCAUCAGGGCCGCGUGAGUGAUGAAGGCCUUAGGGUUGUAAAGCUCUUUUUCCCGGGAUGAUAAUGACAGUACCGGAAGAAUAAGCUCCGGCUAACUCCGU